ensembl:lncRNA MIR99AHG mir-99a-let-7c cluster host gene
ACUAGAAAUGUCAAGGGAUGGUUCGGCAGUUAUUACAUUGCCUGUCUAAAAGUGAUACAUUGACAGCCAGUGCCAGGGAUAGGCCAUUUUCUGAGGGUCCACACCUGUUAACAUUAAAGUGUCAGUUAAAGACAGGCCUCGGGGGAAACAACUUGCUGGGCAUGCAUAUUAAGAGACAGAAAUGACGAAGUAUGAUCUUCCAGGUACCCUCCACUGGAAAAAGGAAGAAAGCCUUAGAUGGGCAUGCUAACAACUCCCUAAACACACUGCAUGUGCUCAAUUCCCAAGGGUAAGGAAGGCACUGUGCAUGCGGGAAGCCCACCCUAAGGGAAGAAUCAUGGGAAAGAGGAGCUCUUUCUGAGAUGAAGAGAAUUCUCAAUGUCAAGAUUUGAACAAGAAGAGAAUGGAAUACACAAUAUGGACAUCCAUAAAAAUUCAUCAGAGAGCAUUUUACUACUGAGCUGCAAAGGUAGGAAAAAUAAAUUUUUUUUGGUUAGAAAAUAUACUUCUUUCAUCUGCGUUUCAAUAAUUUAUUCCCCUUGUUAGAUAUACAUGGAAUUGAUAUUGCUUAUUCUGACUAAGUGAAAAGUGUUAUUUCUACUUACUGCUCAAUUAGAAACAUGUAGUGUUUAAUUGUCAGUUUGAAUUUUUCUUUCAUACUAUUACAGUUUAUAUUUUACUAUAGGCAGAAUUUCCUCUUUAUCCUAAAUUUUGAUAUUCUCCAUAAUUUCAUCGUGCCUUGACAUUGCUGUAUAUAAUUUCUAUACAUCAGGAAGGCAAUUCUGUGUGCAUGUGUGUGUGUAUAUAUAUAGUUAGAAGUUAGAAACUGAAACUCUUUUUUGUCUACCAUCAUUUCAUAUUUUUCUUGCUAUUUCAAACCUAUAAUUUUUAAAGAAACGACUAACGUAAUCAUUCAUAGAAUAUGCUGUCAGUAACUUAACAAUAUAAAUGUUAACAUGGAGGCAUUUAGUUCAGCAUUUGCUUUACUUAAUAGAGUGCAGAAAAUGUGGCCCUUUUCUCAGUUAGGGUGUAUGUGAAGAUAAAUUUAGAAUUUCUAGACUAGUAAAUACUUCUCUGAUAAUAACUUAAUUAUAGCUAUUUCAAACCAAAUUGUUUAAUUGUGGUGAAUCAUAUGUAAAUUGUUCAGAUGUAGGUCAACACCCACGCCCACAUUCUAGCACCUCUUUCCUAAUUCAAGACAACUUUGCAGUGCCUAAAAGAGCUGAACAGUGCAGAUUAGAGACAUAA